CCACCUCCAAGCUGCCCACCAACCAUGCUCUGAUGCAUUUGUAGUCUUUCAAAUGUGCACUUCUGCCUGGCGGCCUCCUCCUGGCUUCAGCCUUGAACCUCACCUUGAUUGCCACUUCCUUUGGGGAAACUCCUCUGAUGCUUUCCCUGGUGUAGGUAGCUCCCCCGCCUGAUGCCAUCACACCGUGGAACAGCCACAUUUCACUGUUAGGUCCUGGCCUCCCACAUCAGACUCUGAGCUCUACAAGGGCAGAAUAUUUUAUACAUAAUCCUAUUGCAUGCAGCCUUGAUUCAGGAAUAUUCUAGAGGUGGCACCUGCAAUCAAAGCCUCCUCCUGCUCACUGUCAGUAGUUCAGCUUUCUGUUCUGAGAGCCCAGACUUCCAGGUACUAGUCCUGAAGAAAAUGAAUUCUUCGAAGCUCGCCUGCAGAUUUCUUUUCUUGAGCACUACCCCUUCAUCCCUGCUUCCACAUGUGAGAUCCCCAGGGCUGGGAUAAAGGUGAAGUGAGCAAGUCAUCUAGGACACAACAUUGAAGGGGACACCACUCUCACAGUUUUGCAAAUACCUUCAGCUCCUCACUUGCCUCACCCUGGUCCUGGCCUGGAUGAUCAUAGGU
rnacentral:lncRNA from 10 species